UAGGAGUCCUUACACAGGUCCAAGGGAUGAGC
rnacentral:piRNA from 1 species